AUUGAACGCUAGCGGCAUGCCUUACACGAUGCAAGUCGAACGGCAGGCACGGGGGCAACCCUGGUGGCGAGUGGCGAACGGGUGAGUAAUGCAUCGGAACGUGCCCAUCGAUGGGGGAUAACUGCGCGAAAGCGUUGCUAAUACCGCAUACGACCUACGGGUGAAAGCAGGGGACCGCAAGGCCUUGCGUCGAUGGAGCGGCCGAUGCCGGAUUAGCUAGUUGGUGAGGUAAAGGCUCACCAAGGCGACGAUCCCGUAGCUGGUCUGAGAGGACGACCAGCCACACUGGGACUGAGACACGGCCCAGACUCCUACGGGAGGCAGCAGUGGGGAAUCUUGGACAAUGGGCGAAAGCCUGAUCCAGCAAUGCCGCGUGUGGGAAGAAGGCCUUCGGGUUGUAAACCACUUUUGGCGGGAAAGAAAUGGUCUGUGCUAAUACCACGGAUUGAUGACGGUACCCGCAGAAUAAGCACCGGCUAACUACGUG
rnacentral:rRNA from 1 species